AGAGCCAAGAAAACUUUUCUUUUGAGCUAUUUACUACAGCUUUUCACAAUUCAGUAUACUCCUGUGAACAAAAUUUGGAGCAUAUUUGUUUCUCUCUACCUGAUUUCUCCAGAAUUUGGAAACUAUCUCAGAAGGAAGGCACUGCACAUGUGGACAGACUGCCGUAAGAGAAGAAUCAUGGAAAAGGGGUCAGCCUAUAAAGUCCUAAGAUCAAGGUUAAAGACCACACUUGACCUUCAUGUCCCAACUUAGGUUUCUUCCAAACUUACUUUCCUUUCUGUCCUGUUCUAAAGCCCUUUUAAAUAAAUAUCCACUCCUGCUCUGGAAAAAAGAAUGAAA